rnacentral:rRNA from 1 species
GAGAGUGGGUUAGUCCGCACGAGCGCACCUCACUUUUAGUUGCCAUCAUUAAGUUGGGCACUCUGAAAGAACUGCCAGUGAUAAGCUGGAGGAAGGUGGGGAUGACGUCAAGUCCUCAUGGCCCUUACGUGUUGGGCUACACACGUGCUACAAUGGCAUCUACAACAGGAAGCAAAACGGCAACGUUAAGCAAAUCCCGAAAAGAUGCCUCAGUUCGGAUUGCACUCUGCAACUCGAGUGCAUGAAGCUGGAAUUACUAGUAAUCGUGGAUCAGCGUGCCACGGUGAAUGCGUUCCCGGGUCUUGUACACACCGCCCGUCACACCAUGGGAGUUGGUUCUACCUUAAGGCAAGGUUUUAAACCCUUGACCACGGUAUAGUCAGCGACUGGGGUGAAGUCGUAACAAGGUAGCCGUAGGGGAACCUGCGGCUGGAUUACCUCCUUUCU